UCCCUUUAACACUUUAACCCAACCAGCUGAAGCAGCACAUGUGGGUCACCUUGGAGACAGCCGACCUGCCAAUCUGAAAGAGACCGUUUUCCUUAACUUCCAGGACUGGGGGAGUUAACGGUUUGACCGGACUCUCUUGCUGAAGUCCCACGUCUUCAGGGUCAUUCGACUUGCAAAUUGACUUGGCUCCUCUCACACACCCAUGUUUAGGGGGCAGUGGCCAGCAUGGUGUCUUCCAUAGCCCCGGAACGGAAAUCAGGUUGGGCAGCGUGACCAACGGCUGAAGCACGACGGCAGGAGGAAUGACUAGAUGGGAUUUAAGGAUGGCUCCCGGGGCCGCAGCAUCAGAGCAAUGUCAAGAACACACCUUAAGGGAGAGAAAGACCGUUGUGAGGGCUCUCAGGAGCAAGCGCCUAUACUCUCUUGGCAACUUUCCUCGAUGUCCGGUGUCCACGCCCCUCCUAGCUUUGAGCAUCGCUGUCUACUCGUCCUUGAGAGCGUCAGCAAGAAGGAGAUUACUCUGCCGUUUUCAACCAUCCCUCAUCCCAAUCUUACCAUACUUAUCCUAGACUGGGUCUUCCAGGACCAGAUCUGUGUCUGAUUCACCUCUGUGUUCCCAAAAUUGAGUACCAGCUGGUACAAGAGUGGGUUCCUAC